UACGAAGGGUGCAAGCGUUGUUCGGAAUCAUUGGGCGUAAAGCGCGCGCAGGCGGAUCAGCAAGUCAGAUGUGAAAUCUCGGAGCUCAACUCCGAAACUGCGUCUGAAACUGCUAGUCUAGAAUGUCGGAGGGGGCAGGGGAAUUUCACGUGUAGGGGUAAAAUCCGUAGAGAUGUGAAGGAACACCGGAGGCGAAGGCGCCUGCCUGGACGACUAUUGAC
rnacentral:rRNA from 1 species